rnacentral:lncRNA from 1 species
GAAGUUUUCUCCUCCUGUCCUGUAACUGGUUUUCACUCACUCAACUGAGAGAUUUCUUUGUUGCAAUGAUGGGGUCUAAGAUAACACUUCUGGAGGCUGCAGGCGAGAAACACAGCUGAUAUCAUCUUUUAUUGUGUGUUGUUAUUUGCCUAGCAUUAUAAAUUAAGGAGGAAUAGUAACAAAGAGCUUGAAGACAUGCACAGCUCACAGGCCCCGGGUGGAGGCUGGCGACAUCAGACAGACAGAACCAAGACAUCUGAGGGGCAACCAGGAGGUGCGUGUGGCUGCAGAGCACACAGACUUGUCUUUGGACAAAAUUGAGAAGAACUCAUAAACUUGGCUUCCUCGCUUCUGCUCCUCAGACGCGCGUGGAUGAUUUGAAGAUAUUAGCCUAACAAGAUGGAAGCAGGUUUAAAAUUUUACAUAAGAAGUUACCUUUUUCAGUUGUGUUGAUGUUCCUUUCAGCUGGUCCUAUAGUACCCCUCCUCAGGAAUGUCUCCCCAGUGCAAGGACAAAGACUGAAGAGACUGCUAUAUUGAUGGACUCUCAAGCCAACUAUGAAGUUGAAACAAAGAAAGUGAUCACCUGAAGACACCUCCUCUGCUAAGAAACACCCCCAAAUUGUGCAGCUUCUGCCACUAGAACUCUCAGAACAAGAGACAAUCUUUUCAAGAAACAGAAAAACUCAAUAAUGACAUCUAGAUUUUCAUGAGCCAAGAACUUUCCCUUCCUCAUGUGUAUUCCUCUGUUUGUACUUAAAUUCAUGUGACAUUCAUUUUUUUCCUAGUAUGGAUAUGCUUAUUAAUGCACUUGUUUCAAAAUCCCAAAUUGCACAAAUGUGUUAAUAUUUUAAGAAACAAAAUGAAUCCUACAAGGAGAAUGAUUUUUAGCCACACAUAGGGUUGGAUCUUGAGAGUGACCUACAGAAUAAAAGUACUUUUAAAAUAAAGUAGUCAGAGGCUAUUCAAAGGGUAAAAUAAUCAUAGUACCACAUUGGUCCACUUGACACUAACCAAUCGAUCAUUUUUUUUUAAUCAAGAAAGCUAGAUUCUAUCAGAUAAAAUCACUGCUUCUAAAGAGUUUAAAUCUAGUUAGAAAAAGUUAUAGAAAUGUUUGCAAAGAUAAGUAACAGAUAGAGUCAGUAGAGGAUAAGAUCAAAAACAAAACCAAGCAAAAGAUGAGUUCAGGGGAGUUUGCCAUCAAGUUGGCAAAACUGACUUACUUAGGGAAGAAAGUUAUAAAACAGGAAAAUAUGAGAUGAACCUUGAGUGAUGUGGAAGAUUUAGAUAAAUGGAAAGGAAGGAGAAAAUGGAGUUCUUUAGGUGGUUGUAAUUGGAGGAGGAAAUGAAUACACACAUCUUGUUGACUUAAACCCAGACAUUCAGCAGCUCUCUAUACAUAUCUGGAAAAGACUGCACAGUCACCUCCUGUCUCUCACCCCAGGUAUUACUUAGAAUUAUUAUCAUAUUUCCCUUCCUUUAAAGUAAGUAAGGGUGAUUGGUGACAAUAUGGAGAACUAUGAUUUUUCCAUUAACCUAAUAAUAAUUGGUAUUUAUUGAGUUCUGUUAAGCAUUUUACAUAUUAACUCACUUAAGCCUUUCAACAGCCUUGCAAAAUAGGUAUUAUUAUCCCCAUUUUACAGGCAAGAAAACUGAGGUUUAAGUAACUUGCCGAAGUGCCAUAUACAGGGCUCACAUUCAGUAUUGCAGUUGCAAAGCUCAUGAUCUAUAGUGCCAAGUUGCAAUAUUGUAGUCAAUGUCACAAUUAUUACCCCUUUUUAUAUUCCUUGAUAUUUUUCCAUGGCAAACAAUUAGCUAUUUCAUUUAAUAAUCACCUAAAACUUUUCAGUCUUCUGAUUAAAAUUACGCUGGAGUGAUAGAAUGUAUUUUCAUGAUAGAAAUUGGGAAAAAAAAUGGGGAAUGAAGUUUAUCAGCAUUUCAGACUUGUUUUUUUUUUUUUUUUUUGCAAGACUUUGAUGAGAUUGUUCACUUUUGUCUAUGUAAAAUCCCAAAUCCUUGAGAAUAAAAAAGGGGGAGGUUUAAGUCACUUGUUGCAAUGCCCUUUUUAAUAGAGGCAAUAAAUCUAAAGGCCAUAAAUUUAGAGUGACUUACAGAAGAUCGAACUUUGGAGUGUGGCAGAGUAAGGGAUGGAAACCGGGCCCUCCAGUUCACUAUCAGUAGCUUUUGCACUGGUCUGCCCUUCCUAAAUUAAGUAUGCACUUCAAUUUGAUGAGUGGAAACAGUCUAUCUGGGCAGUAACCAGGGAGCUUUGUGCCUAGUAGAUUGCUUCUGUUCUGCACUUCUUUGGUUUCCCACCUCAAUGUAAAAAAUAGCUAGCAAUGAAGUCCAGAAGUUGUCAAUGGUUCAUCCCCAGAAGAAUGCAUAAUGUCCAAAGUUGUAUGUGUAUGAUGUCUUCAAUGGUAUUAAGUUAUUUCAAAUUCUUAGUUCACCUACAUAAAUCAUUUCUAACAAGCAUCUUCUUAACCAACUUUAUGCACAGUGUAUGUUUGUAAGUGCUUCUGCACGAAUGUUUAUACAUGACUGUUUCCAUAGUACUUAUGUUUUUAAAAAUAUUCAGUCAUUUCCUACUAUAAUCCUCAUGUAUCCAUGUAACUGACUCAAAAAUACUUCAGCCACAGAAAGCUAAAACUGAGCAAAUCUCAUUCUUCUUUUCCAUCCCCUUUGCAUGUGGCUGGCAUUUAGUAAUGAUUAAUAAUAUGGCCAGCUGAAUAACAGAGGUUUGAGACACAAUUCUUUCUCAAAGGAGUCAGCUAAGCUGGGUCUACUUAUGGACAAACAUCUAAAUGUGUGGAAGUAUCUGAUAUUUGACAAUGGUAAAUUUCCACUUAGCUAGCUAGCAUUGUCAGACUUCAAUCUCCUCAUGGCUCUGGCCGUCCUGUUUUAAGCAUGAUAAUUGUUGGCCACAUCUCACAUAGUUCUCAUUGAGUGAGUUCAUAAAUAAACAGGGUUUUUUUUUUUUUUUAAAGAGCAGCCAAGCACAAAGUGUGACUUUGUUGACAUUUUAUGUGACUUUGUCAUAUGUUCCUAACCCCCAAUAAAAGCAAUGUUGCAUCAACUGUGAA